rnacentral:rRNA from 1 species
AUUGAACGCUGGCGGCAGGCGUAACACAUGCAAGUCGAACGAGUGGCGGACGGGUGAGGAAUGCUUGGGAAUCAAGCUUAUGGAGGGUGAUAACUACGGGCAAAUGUAGCUAAUACCGCGUAACAGAGUAGGAACACAAGUUGGAUGAGGUAGUUGGUGGGGUAAAGGCUGACAAAGCCGACGAUCUCUAGCUGGUCUGAGAGGAUGACCAGCCACCCUGUGCCUGAGAUGCGGCCCAGCCUCCUUCGGAAGGCAGCAGUGAGGAAUAUUGCGCAAUGGGGGCAACCUGACGCAGCCAUGCCGCGUGAAUGAAGAAAGCCUUCGGGUUGUAAAGUUCUUUCGGUAGCAAGGCGUUACCUACAGAAGAAGCACCGGCUAACUCCGUGCCAGCCGCCGCGGUAAUAC